rnacentral:rRNA from 1 species
GACGAACGCUGGCGGCGUGCUUAACACAUGCAAGUCGAGCGGAAAGGCCAGGCUGUUGUUGCUCGCUCGAUUGGCGAGCGAGUGAGAGGCACGUGAGUAGCCCUUGCCUUUCGGAUUGGUAUCUGCACGGGACAGUGGCGCAUACCACGAAGAAUCUAGUGAUCCGGUGGGGGUGUUAGGAAGUUGUGGCGGUGGUGUGUGGACUAGCUGCUUACCAGCUGGUUGGGGGAGUAGUGGCGGUCCAAGGCUUCGAUGGCUAGCCUGCAUGGGCGGCUGACCAGGCACAAUGGGACUGCGAGACGGCCCAGACUCGUACGGGAGGCAGCAGUGGGGAAUAUUGCACAAUGGGCGGAAGCCUGAUACAGCAACGCCGCGUGCGGGAUGACGGCCUUCGGGUUGUAAACCGCUUUCGACGGUGACGAAGCGUUAGUGACGGUACCUAGUAAAGAAGCACCGGCUAACUACGUG